rnacentral:lncRNA from 1 species
ACAAUAGUCUUCACAACAGCAGCAAGCAAGCACACUACAACGAAUGACUGCUGGGAUGUGUUACAGGACCUACUCUACGGUCAGGGUCAAAUGUGGGUAACAGUCACAGUCUCAUGAGGUGCUGGGAGUUAUCAGUGAAGGGAAGCAUCCAAAACAUGGCAUACACAAUGGUUUCCUAGUACUGUCCCCACUGACCACCUAGCACUGUCUGCUCGGCAGCAUAUGUGACUGUCCCCAUGAAGGAGGUUGUCAUGAGCUCUUCACAGGACAGUGGUGAGCAUCCUGAGGUCACAGGCUGAGGAAGGAUCUGAACAUUGGAAAGAGCGCCUCCUCUUCACCACAUAGUCUGCCGCCUUAGAAUUUACUUCCCACCGAUCGUAACUGGAAAUAAAUCUCUAGGAGGAAAGGACUGCCACAUACAACUUGUGUAUUUGUCUUCAGACUGAAAAUAUCUCAGAGGGACUCUGUGUAGUGCAUCGUUACACACAAAGAUGACAGAGAUGCCAGGAGAGCUCAGAAACAGAGGAGAAUGGUACCCACAAGCCUGCAAGAGGAUACUUCUCGCUUCAUUCACAGCAUACAUAAAAAGGAACUUAGGAUGGCUCAGAUGCUCAAAUGCUAAAGCUAAACCCAAGCUCUUAUUUUGUUUUCAGGCUAUUUUCAGACAUGUCUGUCAUGUACUCUGACAACACUCCCGUCCACAUCACUCUCUUUUGUCUCACCAUCCCUCUGUGGGUACACUGGUUCUCUUCUACCUUUAUGUCUUAAACACUUUUCAAAAUCUAGAUUCUGCCCAUGAAAAAAAUCAUAUGCUAUCGGUCUGAGUAAAAUGAUAAAGUCUUAAAAAGAAUAUAGAAUUGUAAGUCUUUAGUACCUUGGAUUAGGAUAAGAUCAGACACCAAAAGUAAAGGCAACAAAAUAAAAAAAUACAAAUCAGAUUUGUCAAAAUUAAAAUUUUCUACUGCAAGUGAUAAUUGUUAAGACAGUGAAAAAAACAAACCAAUCUAGGGGCAGGGGUCUUAGUAAGGGCAUCAUUGUUGUGAAGUUGACCAAGGCAACUCUUACAAAGUAAAACAUUUCAUUGGGGCUGGCUUACGUUUUCAGGAGUUUGGUCCAUUACCGCCAUGGUAGUGUGCAGGUGGACAUGGUGCUGGAGAAGAAGCUCAGAGCUCUGCAUCCUGAUGCACAGGCAGCCGAGAGCCACACGAGGCUUAGCUUGUCUUCUCUUCACCACACAGACUGCCUUAGAAUUUACUUCCCACUUAGCCUAGCUGGAUAUAAGUCGCUAGGAGGAAUGCUUAAGAGACCUCAGACCUCGCACCCACAGUGACAAGCGUCCUCCAACAAGGCCACACCUUAAUAGUGGCACUGCCUACUGACCAAGCAUUCAGACACACGAGUCUAUGGGGCCAUUCCUACUCAAAGCAUCACAACAGGAGAAAACUUUUAAAGUAAUAUACUUGAAAAAAGACUUACUUGGAUACUAACGAGUUCAACGACAAGAAGAACUUAAUGUAAGAAAUGUGCAAAGGAUUUGGAUAGACAUUUCUCAAAAGAAACUAGGUGGCUUGCACCUAUAAUCUUAGCAUUUGAGAACUGGAGGCAAGAAGACCAGGAGUUCAACACAAACCUGAGCACACAGUUCAAGGCCAGAGUGUGCCACAUGAGAUCUCGUCUCAAAUAAAACGAUAUAACAUAUAUAAAUGACUGAUGUACUGGCUAGUUCUGUGUCAACUUGACACAGGCUGGAGUUAUCACAGAGAAAGGAGCUUCAGUUGGGGAAGUGCCUCCAUGAGAUCCAGCUGUGGGGCAUUUUCUCAAUUAGUGAUCAAGGGGGAAAGGCCCCUUGUGGGUGGGACCAUCUCUGGGCUGGUAGUCUUGGGUUCUAUAAGAGAGCAGGCUGAGCAAGCCAGGGGAGGCAAACCAGUAAGUAACAUCCCUCCAUGGCCUCUGCAUCAGCUCCUGCUUCCUGACCUGCUUGAGUUCCAGUCCUCAUCCUCUGGUGAUCAACAGCAAUGUGGAAGUGUAAGCUGAAUAAACCCUUUCCUCCCCAA